rnacentral:sRNA from 1 species
AGUUGUGAUUUAAACAUUGUAACAUUGUUAGUUUUGUUUUGUUGUGGGUGAGAGAAGAAGAGCAGCUUUCAAUGAAGAAAUAGAAAAAUUGAAUUCAUUCAGUGUGUUUGUUGUACUUAACUUGGAACUAUCAACAACAGAGCAAAGUAAAGUGUGUGUGUGUGUGUGUGUGUGUGUGCAUAUUGCAAUUCAUACUCAACAUUAACAUAACAGUAACCAGCUGUGGUGUAUGGUGCAGAGCUCGGCAGCUCAUCUGCAGAACAGACAGCAGCAGUGGCAGCGAGAGUGAGUAAAGAAUAACAGUGUUGGCCGGUAUCACUAAGUACACACACAGUAUCGGUAUUACGGUAGUGGGGCGGCCACCCAUCUCUGUGUAUUGUGAUGCAUGCAUCAUGUCUGGAGUUUUGCAGCAUAACCAAUCGGCCAACUGGCUAUGAAUAAUGGUUUUGGCGGUGUUGUAUUCGUUUGCCGAUACUGUUUUCGUUCGGUGUUGUCGGUGCCACAAUCAACACUGGCGUGUCGUGCCGCCGUACUGUUGACGAUAACGAUGUUGGCUAUGGCAACGAUGAUGAUGUUCAAGUGCGUGGUUGUGAAAAGAUGCAGAGCAAUGCCAUUUUUCAGUGAUUGAUGAGCGACUGUCAGAUACAGUUGCAUUUCAAAGUCGCGUGUGCUAAGUCUGACUGAAUGACUGACUGGUUUUGUGUGUGGUGCUGCGGCGCUCGCUGUUUUCGGUUUGUUUUGAUUGUCUCUCCGUCAGAGGCAGCCGUGCUGGUUAAAACGGUGUAUGUUUAAACGCGUGUGUGCGUGUGUGUGUAUAGGCUUUGGGUCAAAAAUAAAAACAACAGAAAUUUUGAAUCUCUCACAAAAUCAAAACCAAAAACAAAACAUACAACAAUUGCAACAAACAACAACAAAACCAAAUAAAUAUUUGCAAUAAAGCCAAGAAUUUUCGGCAUUUCGUGUACAAUAUUGCCGCUAUUUGGCGUAUGAGUGUGCUCGUCUGUUUGCCUGCCUGGUUGUUUGGCGAAAAAUCCCCCAGCGUGUCUAUCACUGCGUGAUGCUAUCUAUCUCUACUCGCAAUGCGAUGAUGAUGAUGAUGAUGAUGGUGGUGCGUGAGACGACGAGUGUUCGAGAUGAAAAUGUGUUUUAAUUUUGGCCAUGAAUAAAAUUACAAUAAAGCAAGAAUAAGAUUUGCUUAAGCCACUCAAGUGGAAAAAGAAAUUUACAGUCUUUAUAGCUGGCAGCCGUUGUGCAAAUCGAAGCAAAGCUUUUUUCUCUCCUUGUGUUUUAUGUGUGCGUGUGUCUGUCGAGUGAGCAUAGCAAAAAAGAAAUUGAAGAAAUUUUGCAAAUGGAAAACCGCCAAAAACAACAACAAUACAUAGACAAAACCAUUCAGAUAACGUACACGAAUUGUGAAGGGUAAAAAAUUGGUCCUUCGACUCCAGCAAAAAAUUUGAAAAGCAGAAAAAAUUUAAAUAAGUUAAUGCAAACAAAAAGUGAUUUAAGAAGAUUAAAAAAAUAGUUGAAAAACUAGUUUCAAAAAAUUAAGAAAAAUUAUCAAAGUGAGAAAACAUUUAUAGAACUUCUACAGCAGCUGACACAGAUAAGCAAAACCUUCUGUUGCAAAAGUGGCAAAUAAUUCAAGCCCAUCUUCAGACUUAAAGAAGAGCGAUUGCAAUAUUGUGUUACACCAAUCAAACGGCCAACCAACCCAAACAUACAAAUAGAGCUGCCAAAAAUAUUAAAAAUAAUCAAAAUAUUU